CGGAUUGCAGGCUGCAACCCGCCUGCAUGAAGUUGGAAUCGCUAGUAAUCGCGGAUCAGCAUGCCGCGGUGAAUACGUUCCCGGGCCUUGUACACACCGCCCGUCACACCAUGAGAGUCGGGGACACCCGAAGUCCGUAGCCUAACCGCAAGGGGGCGCGGCCGAAGGUGGAUUCGAUAAUUGGGGUGAAGUCGUAACAAGGUAUC
rnacentral:rRNA from 1 species